rnacentral:rRNA from 1 species
UACGUAGGGGGCAAGCGUUAUCCGGAUUUACUGGGUGUAAAGGGAGCGUAGACGGCACUGCAAGUCUGGAGUGAAAGCCCGUGGCCCAACCACGGGACUGCUCUGGAAACUGUGUUGCUGGAGUGCAGGAGGGGUAAGCGGAAUUCCUAGUGUAGCGGUGAAAUGCGUAGAUAUUAGGAGGAACACCGGUGGCGAAGGCGGCUUACUGGACUGUAACUGACGUUGAGGCUCGAAGGCGUGGGGAGCAAACAGG